AUGAUAGAAAACCAAAACGCAAUAUUUCCCAGCAGUCUAUGUCUUCGAACAAACUUCUGUCGCUGAAUAAUGAUAUACGGGAUUUGAGUCAUUUGAAAAAACAAACCGUAACCGCGGAUUUUUAAAGUGAUACAUCCCAUAACAAGUUCAUGUAAUACAGAGGAGACAAAGAACGUGAAAAAAGUCGAUAAAGACUUUGACAUGAAAGAGUUGAGGGGAACAUAAACGUGGCGAAGGAGAAAGUAAUGAACGGGCUUAUUCCAGGUUCGGGCAAAUUGAUCCCAAGUCCAGCAAUUCCACCAAUCAUCAUAAAAGUUUCUAUCGGCAAAUCUAGUAAUCUCUGCGCUGAAAUUACAAACUCCUUCAAAAAUGACCCAGAACACGAGGAGGAAGCUAAGCAUAAAUGGGAACAUCAAAAAUGCUACAGUAUGGCCUAAACGUAUAGCAAAAUAAGUAGCAGAUGCGUCUUCAGGAGCUUCAAUAAUGGUUCGAAUGGCUUUAGCAAGUACAGGAACCAUGAAAUGAUCAGAAAUAAUGACCAAAAGAAAGAUACAACCAAACGUUCCCAAAGCGCAUUCAAUCAAAUAAUGAAUUCGCACAUGGGCGGUUCUUGGGUAGUAUAAUUGAUAACAUAAGCUGGGCAUGAAAAGGAAAUCCAAAGCAUUUGGUAUGGUUAAAUUUUCCGGAUAAGUAUUACCAUGAUGGUUGAGACAAUGUUCAUAAAACUCAACUGAGGAUCGUUCAUCAUCAUCAAGAUCGGUUUUUUUUGACUGAAGCUUAUUUAACGAAUGAUAACAAUAAGAAUACCAACCGUUGACAACGUUAUAGGAAUGAAGCUUCAUAAGGAUUACCAUAGAAUGAAGAAUAAACAUAGCACGAUGCGUCCAGGACCAGUUGCUAAGACAGCAGCGUAAAACACAAUGGCUUAAAAAAAGUAAAAUAAGAAUGGAAUAGAGGUAAACGCCUAAACCAUACCACCGCAGAUAUCCCAAAGCAAAAAUCUUUUGGAAAGGAAAAGCAAGUAGAAACAUUGAAGACAUAGCAAGGUCUGCCUUUGCCAGAUCUAACAAAUUAGACUGAAAGUAUUUAAAAAUAGUGCCAACAACUGGUCUUCCAGUCAAUUCGAAAUUUUCUAAAAAGCUCAUGAAAAUCAUAAUAGAGACAGCAACCCAAAAUAACACAAAAAAUCCAGUAAAGUCUACCGCAUUACGUUGAUAAUUACGAGCAAAAAUCGAGGGAGUAGGAGAUAAUUCCAGAGGUCGGUAAGCGGCCCUAGACCUUCGAAGGUCAAUUUUUGAGGUUUCAGAAACACCUUUGAACGUCUGUUCCAAGUUGACAUCCGAUGGUUUGGAUUUAGCGGG